CAUUGAAACAUUGGUUUCUAUAGGAUCACUGAAGUUAAGCAAUAUUGAGCCUGGUUACUUCUUAGAUUGGUGAUCACUUGGGAAUACCAGGUGCUGUAAG